rnacentral:rRNA from 1 species
UACGUAGGUGGCAAGCGUUGUCCGGAUUUAUUGGGUUUAAAGGGUGCGUGGGCGGUUCUAUAAGUCAGUGGUGAAAUCCGGCAGCUCAACUGUCGAUGUGCCAUUGAUACUGCAGAACUUGAGUACAGACGAGGUAGGCGGAAUUGACGGUGUAGCGGUGAAAUGCUUAGAUAUCGUCAAGAACACCGAUAGCGAAGGCAGCUUACUAGGCUGUAACUGACGCUGAUGCACGAAAGUGUGGGGAUCAAACAGG